rnacentral:rRNA from 1 species
GACGGUCUUGCUGUCACUUAUAGAUGGAUCCGCGCUGCAUUAGCUAGUUGGUAAGGUAACGGCUUACCAAGGCAACGAUGCAUAGCCGACCUGAGAGGGUGAUCGGCCACACUGGAACUGAGACACGGUCCAGACUCCUACGGGAGGCAGCAGUAGGGAAUCUUCCGCAAUGGGCGAAAGCCUGACGGAGCAACGCCGCGUGAGUGAUGAAGGUCUUCGGAUCGUAAAACUCUGUUAUUAGGGAAGAACAUAUGUGUAAGUAACUGUGCACAUCUUGACGGUACCUAAUCAGAAAGCCACGGCUAACUACGUGCCAGCAGCCGCGGUAAUACGUAGGUGGCAAGCGUUAUCCGGAAUUAUU